GCGUCCUGCUCGUGAUCGUCUUCUCACCCUUCACGUGGCAGGCGGAAAAAGGGGCGGCCCCGCGAGGACCAGACUCGCGGGGCCGUUCC
rnacentral:ncRNA from 1 species